CCAGCAGCCGCGGUAAUUCCAGCUCCAGUAGCGUAUAUUAAAGUUGUUGCAGUUAAAAAGCUCGUAGUUGGAUUUCUGGUUGACGGCGUAUGGUCCGGCGUCCUCAGGAUGCUGUGUACCGUCGUGUGUCUGCCAUCCUUCCAGAGAGUUGUGCCUACCGGCUCGUCCGGCAGGGCGCUGCGAUCUGGAUCUUUUACUUUGAAAAAAUUAGAGUGUUCCAAGCAAGCUUACGCUUUGAAUACAUUAGCAUGGAAUAAUAAUAUAGGACUUUUGUCUUAUUUUGUUGGUUUCUAAGAUGGAAGUAAUGAUUGAUAGGGAUAGUUGGGGGUGCUAGUAUUCAGCGGCCAGAGGUGAAAUUCUUGGAUUCGCUGAAGACUAACUACUGCGAAAGCAUUCACCAAGGAUGUCUUCUUUAAUCAAG
rnacentral:rRNA from 1 species